AAAAGUUUGCUGAUGAUUGUUGUUGUUGUUGUAGUUGGUUCUUUGUUGCGGUUGUUACUGAUGUUGUUGUUAAAUUGGAACUGAUUGAUCGGUUGAAUUGUUGGAAAAAAAUUGGAAUCACUAAAGAUACCUGGUGUUGAUGUUGACGGGAUUUAGAAUUUUACCUCAUAUGAGGCCUCUUCUUCCUCCCUACUGACACUGCAUUAGUUUCUCCUUCCUUCUUCUUAGAAAAACUCCCAC
rnacentral:lncRNA from 1 species